rnacentral:rRNA from 1 species
UACGUAGGGGGCAAGCGUUGUCCGGAUUUACUGGGCGUAAAGAGCGUGUAGGCGGCCAAGCAGGUCCGUUGUGAAAACUGGAGGCUUAACCUCCAGACGUCGACGGAAACCGCGUGGCUAGAGUCCGGAAGAGGAGAGUGGAAUUCCUGGUGUAGCGGUGAAAUGCGCAGAUACCAGGAAGAACACCAAUGGCGAAGGCAGCUCUCUGGGACGGUACUGAUGCUGAGACGCGAAAGCGUGGGGAGCGAACAGG